AUAUAGUGUUACAGUUAUGAUUUAAGUUCUAUUUCAUUCAUGCAGAAAAAAAUUCAGGAGCAUAUAGUAUUUAAAAUUGAGAAUAGAAAUGGGGAAUAUGUCAAAGAGACAACAACCCAACAAAAGAGUAGACAACAUCCGAGGUCCACCAAUGGGUCUUCAAAGCAAAGAGAAAAACCUGCACCUGGAGGUUGUCUGUCUCUCUGGAUAAAAAAGAAAAUAAUAACUUAAGUGUUCCUUGCUUGAUUGGAAUUAAAAAUUGUAAAUAUCAGAUUCAACCACUGCAACAUUGUAAAUAUAAGAUUCAACCACUGCAACAUUGUAAAUAUAAGAUUCAACCACUGCAUCAACCACUGCGACAUUGUAAAUAUAAGAUUCAAACACUGCGACAUUGUAAAUAUAAGACUCAACCACUGCGACAUUGUUAAUAUAAGAUUCAACCAAUGCAACAUUGUAAAUAUAAGCAACAUUGUAAAUAUAAUAUUCAACCACUGCAACAUUGUAAAUAUAAGAUUCAACCCCUGCAACAUUGUAAAUAUAAGAUUCAACCACUGCAACAUUGUAAAUAUCAGAUUCAACCACUGCAACAUUGUAAAUAUAAGCA
rnacentral:lncRNA from 1 species